UAGUGGCGGACGGGUGAGUAACACGUGAGAAUCUGCCCUUAGGAGGAGGAUAACAGCUGGAAACGGUUGCUAAUACUCCAUAUGCCGAGAGGUGAAAGGAUUUAUCCACCUAAGGAGGAGCUCGCGUCUGAUUAGCUAGUUGGUAGGGUAAUAGCCUACCAAGGCGACAAUCAAUAGCUGAUUUGAGAGGAUGAUCAGCCACACUGGGACUGAGAUACGGCCCAGACUCC
rnacentral:rRNA from 1 species